AGUGAACGCUGGCGGUAGGCCUAACACAUGCAAGUCGAACGGCAGCACAGUAAGAGCUUGCUCUUACGGGUGACGAGUGGCGGACGGGUGAGGAAUACAUCGGAAUCUACUUUUUCGUGGGGGAUAACGUAGGGAAACUUACGCUAAUACCGCAUACGACCUACGGGUGAAAGCAGGGGAUCUUCGGACCUUGCGCGAUUGAAUGAGCCGAUGUCGGAUUAGCUAGUUGGCGGGGUAAAGGCCCACCAAGGCGACGAUCCGUAGCUGGUCUGAGAGGAUGAUCAGCCACACUGGAACUGAGACACGGUCCAGACUCCUACGGGAGGCAGCAGUGGGGAAUAUUAGACAAUGGGCGCAAGCCUGAUCCAGCCAUACCGCGUGGGUGAAGAAGGCCUUCGGGUUGUAAAGCCCUUUUGUUGGGAAAGAAAAGCAGCAGGUUAAUACCCCGCUGUUCUGACGGUACCCAAAGAAUAAGCACCGGCUAACUUCGUG
rnacentral:rRNA from 1 species